rnacentral:rRNA from 1 species
AUUGAACGCUGGCGGCAGGCCUAACACAUGCAAGUCGAGCGGGUGGCGGACGGGUUAGUUAUGUCUGGGCAUCUGCCCGAUGGAGGGGGAUCACUACUGGAAACUGUAGCUAAUACCGCAUACCAUCGGAUGUGCCCAGAUGGGAAUAGCUAGUGGGUGGGGUAAAGGCUCACCUAGGCGACGAUCCCUAGCUGGUCUGAGAGGAUGACCAGCCACACUGGAACUGAGACACGGUCCAGACUCCUACGGGAGGCAGCAGUGGGGAAUAUUGCACAAUGGGCGAAAGCCUGAUACAGCCAUGCCGCGUGUAUGAAGAAGGUCUUCGGGUUGUAAAGUACUUUCAGCGAGGAGGCGUUACUCGCAGAAGAAGCACCGGCUAACUCCGUGCCAGCAGCCGCGGUAAUAC